rnacentral:rRNA from 1 species
CAGUAGCCGCGGGAAUACAGAGGGUGCGAGCGUUAAUCGGAUUUACUGGGCGUAAAGCGUGCGCAGGCGGUUAUAUAAGACAGAUGUGAAAUCCCCGGGCUCAACCUGGGAACUGCAUUUGUGACUGUAUAGCUAGAGUACGGCAGAGGGGGAUGGAAUUCCGCGUGUAGCAGUGAAAUGCGUAGAUAUGCGGAGGAACACCGAUGGCGAAGGCAAUCCCCUGGGCCUGUACUGACGCUCAUGCACGAAAGCGUGGGGAGCAAACAGGAUUAGAUACCCCCGUAGUCCCUGUCUCUUAUAA